GAGAGCGGGGCCUCUGCUCGCCCCCGCUGAGGGCAGGGAGGGUGGGAGAAGAGCCCCGGCCCUGCCCGCACCGUGGCGCUGAGUGCUGCGGGUCCUCACGGCUCCGAGUCGUGGGGGGCCAGCAGCGCUGGCGGGACUGAGAGCUGUCGGAGGGGAGAGAGGCUUCUCUGUGCGGUGCCGUCGGCCUGCCUUUAUUUGGCGUUGGCGAGGGAGGCUGCGGCGUUGCUUAAUCCCCUCCUGCGAGGGGCUGCGUGGAGGAAUAAUUCUGCCACGCUGAGGGCAGGAGCAAGGCGUGGGGCUCCUCUUCUUCCCAGCAAAGAAAAGCAAUGUGUUACCCUGGGGUAUAGUUUCUACGCUCACUGGAACAUGGCAUUCCCUGUAAUUAAUUAUUACAUAAGUGCCACGUCAAGGAUGCCAUUUGUGUUACAGGCUUUCUGUUAACUGCAGCAGUGACAGCAGUAGCGUGUGUCUAGAAUCCUGUCAGGAUGCUGUUUCAUUUCUGUUACAGUUGCCAAGUCCAUCUUUGUCAAGAACAGCCUGAGGAUGUUCUGUAGCCUUUGUGGCUGUGUACUUUUUGUGUGAAAGACCAAACUCUAGGAGUGUUUACGCUCCCCUGCAGGAGAUGGCCUUGGCUCUUGCCUUUUUUCUGAGAAUCAGAUCAUCCUACAUUAAAAAAAUGAAACUAUUGUAAUGAUUGUACAUUUGAAAGGAUAUGGGGUCACAUGUACAAGCUUUUAAUAGUAGUAUUUGGUAGAGAAGGUUUAUCCAUUUAUUAUUGUGACUCUUUGUCAAAAUAUAUUAUAAAGCUUCUGGGUCCUUUUGAUCCCUUCUGCGUGUGGCUUUUUUGAGAAAUUGUGCAUAGAAGUCAGUAACUGUAUGUCUGUCUCACAAAGCUGUUGCUUUCUGUAGACAGACCAGGCAGAAAAUCGAUCUUUAUCUUGGGAUGGCAUCUUCUCAGAUUGUUUGAGCCUGAGGAAAAUGUGGGUUCCAAACAAGGAACUUGAACUUACACCAUCAGCAAGUAGCUUCUGGUCAGCUGGUGACUGUAAGAAGGUAACAGACCUUGAAAAAUUCACCAAGAGUUAUGCAAUAAGUACCAAAUAAAGGUCUCUGUAAAGAGCUGUGAAGUAGGUUAAAAUUGCCUGAAGGCAAAAUGAGUGUGUCAGUUUCUGUUCUCAUAUGGCUGCUGUGUCCGCAUCAGAGUGCACAAGCUCUUAAACUCAUCUUUUUUUGUAUUUGAAAGAUAAAGGUGUUGAACUAAACCUAGACUAAUGUAAACUAAUUGGAAUUAAUCUAGACUAACCUGAACUCAAUCUAAAAAUGGGAAUAUUUCCAGUCCAUAAUUUAACAUAGUCGUUCACUUGAGAUUAUUUCCAAAUGGUUUUGGAUAGGCUUAGCUGAAGUCUUGACUGGAAAACUGAAGAAAGUAGAGAUUCAGCCAUUUGUGUGUGGCACUGCAAUAGAAAAGGUAAUUGAAUAGUUCCUCUCAGUCCUUCUUUUUCAGUCUUUCAUUGUGAUAAAGUGGCCUGUGUUUGCAGAGGUUGCAUAUCCGAUUUGAAGGGCUCUGUGGAGUGCAUGGUUAAGCACAAACUUAAGCUAAAUACUGCUGUCAUAGAGCAUUCCAAGGGAAAGUGGUAUGGUCACUAAAGAGGGGCUGUGCCUUUUAUUAGAUCAAAUCGUACAGAGGAAGAGAGAAGUGAACAAACUUUCAGGAAUACAAGCUUUUUUCCUUCGGCUGUUUUAAAAAAGAAUUUCCAGGAACCUGUAUCAACAAACUUGUGCUGUUCCUAAAAUCAGGAUGAUAAAGCUGUUCAUAUCAAAAACCUGGAUUACUUCAUUGGCUGCUAGAAAUUUAAUAGCUGCUACUUUUCCACUAACUCGUUUCUGAUUACAUGCUACUAUGAUCACACCUGUCAAACUGAGUGGUGUUUUGACCAAUAUACAUGUAGUUGCACAAUUAAUUGCUCUAAAUGCAACAAAACAGCCCCAGGAUAUAUUGUCAGUUCUGGAGAUAACACUCCAUCCCCUCUGAAGGGGACUUUUACAAUGCUUACUGCACUGUGGUAAGGAUGACUGUAUGCUGACAAGAAGACAGUCCCGGAUGAGCUACCAGAAUACCCUUGCAAAGCUUACUGUAACUCUCAAAAAAAGGAAAGAAAAAAAAUCUGUACUGAUUGUACAUCUCUUCCUGUGAUGUACCACCCUAUACUAGAACCUCCCUGGAAAAUAGUUGAAUAAUCCCCUUAUCCUGAAAAAAAUCCUGUGCUUUGAAAUGAAGCUUUCCCAGAAUUUUCCAUUUGCCCUUGGUAGCUCUCAGGUGGUGCUCUGUCAGAAACCUUCCUGGAAGUUGGUGAGUACUGAGCAGAAUCAGACUACGUAUGAGUUUUGCAUAAUAAAUGCCCUCUACAGCGUAGUUCUGCUAUCUGUGGAUCCUGCUCAUUUCCAUCCCAGAAUGUGGUGUACUGGCUCAAUAUACUCAAUGUCCUCAUGGAAGUUCCUUGGGAUGAGCCCAAACAGCUUCCAGGAGUUAGAGUGGGUCUCACAAGCUGAAUGGCCAGUCAGCAGCUGGAGAGUAUUUUCGCAGAGCGGUCCAAGUGGACUGGUGGAAUGCCUCCAAAACAUAAGCCCAAAGCUUAACUUUUCAAACCCGGGUGGACACUUAAAAACUGUGUUUUCAACAGGAACAUAAAUUUGGUACUUAAUUUUGACGUUAUUCUUCCUGUCAGCCAUUUGCUUUCCCACAGGCAAUAACUAGCAGCUGUUCUUUAAGUUCCAUGAUGAUUAAGCCCCCGCCUCACUUCUAAGUGCUAAUUACUCUUUUCUCUAAAAACAUCUAAUUUUUUAAUGUGUUCGGGGUAUUUUAAUUCUUGUGAGACUUACGAGGUCCACAAUCUUUUAACAACUUAGAUGUAUUGAUCUGAUUUUAAAAAAAGAUACAUAUUUCUAUUGCCUUCUGUGUCCUUGCCUUCUAUGUUUGGAAGCCAUUUUCAAGGCAGACUGGAAGGAGUUUCUGGUUGAAGUUAAGAAAGAGGCAUGUAUUCUCUGACUCAACAGGGCUCUUUGUUUUCAAGCAAUAGAAAUAAAGAGGAUCUCUUUUGAGUUUCCUUUAAUUAUGAGCCUGAGGGUAGAGGGAAAGGAGGAGUGAUUUUUGUUUCUCAAUAUGAUGUUUGUGAUUUAGUUCUUCCUGGAGGAGUUGCUGUUUUGUUGCUAAAUUAUAAUUGCACCUUUCCUGUGGCUAUGGAGAAGAUUUGGCUGGGUUACACUUCUGAUUUGUGGCUGUCUUCCUUUUUAUGUGGGAGCUCUCCAAAAAGGUAAAUGGGAGUUAUAUCUGUGACUUAAACGUCCUACUUUUUCUCCUUCACAAUCAUAAGGAUUUCCUCUCGGUAUGAACCAGAGCUGAAUGUCAAGUCAGUUCUUGCAGUCUGGCUUUUUCAUUCUAGAGAAAACAUGAUACAUUUGAAAUGUAUUUGAAAUACCAUUUUCUCAUUAGAUCGUUAGGUUAUGCAAGGUGGAGGAUGGCAGUUACCCUUAAAGCUAUUUAUUACAUUGUGGUUGUGAAUCUAAUGAGGGAGGAUGGGAUUCAAGAAGGGACAUGAUAAAAGUUUUUGUAGAAGUGAGUAUAGUCUGGAUGGUGAAGGUAUAUGAGAAAAUUAAUGUUUAAAAAAAGUUUACAAAUCCCUUAGUGUGUACAGUUCUGCUGUUACUUCUGAACACUCCUCGAUCAAGCGUAGGCACUAAGUCAGUAUCCUGUAGCUUUCUGCUUUGUGGGUCUCUCCUUUUUUUCUAGAAGCACCAAAGUCAACAACUCAUGUCUUUUUGAGAAACAAAAUUAUUUUGUUUGAUUCCUUAGGUAAUAACUUCCUUUCUCUGAGCAAGUGAAAGUAGAAUUAUCAGUGAUCCUGAGCAUUUUUAUUUUCAGGUAGAAAAGAGUAGUUAAGAUGUGAGCAAGAAACAGGAAAUAAACAGUCUACCACUGGGUGCUUUAGGAAUCAGUAUAGAAAGAAAGAAUGAAUGAAUGUCAGAAGAAACCGAGCUUCACCUCCAGCCAGUGUUACUUUUUUUCCCCCGACGGAGCAGUAACCUGAGGGACUUUAGAUGUCCAGAGUACAGCAAUUAGACAGGAGAAGAGCUAGCUAUUCACAGAGGUCCUCCUUCAGCUCCAGUGGUGUCAGCUAGCUCCUGCUACAUGGAAAAAAUUAAAAUUCAAGAAGUUUGGAUUUAUUUGAAGUAACACCAACGUAGAUCUGGGAUGAUUCCGUUAACAGCACUGCAGUCAUGCUGUGUUUCUGAAAGGAUAUCUAAAGAACUGUAUCCAAGGAGGAUGUCACACUUUUCCGUUCUCAAGUUCAACCUUUUCUCUGAGUGCAUCAGCAAGUUUCACCUCUUCUGAAACUGUACUCUCCC